GACGAACGCUGGCGGCGUGCUUAACACAUGCAAGUCGAACGGAAAGGCCCUGCUUUUGUGGGGUGCUCGAGUGGCGAACGGGUGAGUAACGCGUGAGUAACCUGCCCUUGACUUUGGGAUAACUUCAGGAAACUGGGGCUAAUACCGGAUAGGAGCUCCUGCUGCAUGGUGGGGGUUGGAAAGUUUCGGCGGUUGGGGAUGGACUCGCGGCUUAUCAGCUUGUUGGUGGGGUAGUGGCUUACCAAGGCUUUGACGGGUAGCCGGCCUGAGAGGGUGACCGGCCACAUUGGGACUGAGAUACGGCCCAGACUCCUACGGGAGGCAGCAGUGGGGAAUUUUGCACAAUGGGCGGAAGCCUGAUGCAGCAACGCCGCGUGCGGGAUGACGGCCUUCGGGUUGUAAACCGCUUUCGCCUGUGACGAAGCGUGAGUGACGGUAAUGGGUAAAGAAGCACCGGCUAACUACGUG
rnacentral:rRNA from 1 species